UACGGAGGGUGCGAGCGUUGUCCGGAAUCACUGGGCGUAAAGGGCGCGUAGGCGGCGCGACAAGGCGGCGGUGAAAGUCCGGGGCUCAACCCCGGAUCGGCCGUGGCGACUGUCGCGCUCGAGCACAGUAGAGGCGGGUGGAAUUCCGGGUGUAGCGGUGGAAUGCGUAGAGAUCCGGAAGAACACCGGUGGCGAAGGCGGCCCGCUGGGCUGUGGCUGACGCUGAGGAGCGAAAGCUAGGGGAGCAAACGGG
rnacentral:rRNA from 1 species